rnacentral:tRNA from 1 species
GCGGACGUGGUGGAAUUGGUAUACACGACAGACUUAAAAUCUGUUGGCGCUAGCGCCGUGCGGGUUCGAGUCCCGCCGUCCGCACCA